GUUAAUUCUCAGGGCGGGGUGCAAUUCCCCACCGGCGGUGAUUCUUUAAUCAUAUUUAAAGAAAGCCCGCGAGCGCUUUUCUCGUUGUGAGAAAGGGUCAGCAGAUCUGGUGUGAUUCCAGGGCCGACGGUUACAGUCCGGAUGGAAGAGGAUGCGA
rnacentral:ncRNA from 2 species